UGGGGAAUAUUGGACAAUGGGCGAAAGCCUGAUCCAGCAAUACCGCGUGUGUGAAGAAGGCCUGAGGGUUGUAAAGCACUUUCAAUAGGAAGGAAUACCUAUCGGCGAAUACCCGGUAGACUGACAUUACCUAUACAAGAAGCACCGGCUAACUCCGUGCCAGCAGCCGCGGUAAUACGGAGGGUGCAAGCGUUAAUCGGAAUUACUGGGCGUAAAGCGUGCGUAGGCGGUUAUUUAAGUCAGAUGUGAAAGCCCCGGGCUUAACCUGGGAACUGCAUUUG
rnacentral:rRNA from 1 species